rnacentral:rRNA from 1 species
UACGUAGGGGUCUAGCGUUGUCCGGAAUUAUUGGGCGUAAAGAGCUCGUAGGUGGCUUGUCGCGUCUGCCGUGAAAGCCCGUGGCUUAACUACGGGUCUGCGGUGGAUACGGGCAGGCUAGAGGCUGGUAGGGGCAAGCGGAAUUCCUGGUGUAGCGGUGAAAUGCGCAGAUAUCAGGAGGAACACCGGUGGCGAAGGCGGCUUGCUGGGCCAGUUCUGACGCUGAGGAGCGAAAAGCGUGGGGGAGCGAACAGG